rnacentral:rRNA from 2 species
UUCUGGCUCAGGAUGAACGCUAGCUACAGGCUUAACACAUGCAAGUUGAGGGGCAGCAUGACGAUAGCUUGCUAUUGUUGAUGGCGACCGGCGCACGGGUGAGUAACGCGUAUCCAACCUGCCCUUGUCCAUCGGAUAACCCGUCGAAAGGCGGCCCAACACGAUAUGCAGUCCACAGAAGGCAUCUGACGCGGACGAAAUGUGAAGGAGAAGGAUGGGGAUGCGUCUGAUUAGCUUGUUGGCGGGGUAACGGCCCACCAAGGCGACGAUCAGUAGGGGUUCUGAGAGGAAGGCCCCCCACAUUGGAACUGAGACACGGUCCAAACUCCUACGGGAGGCAGCAGUGAGGAAUAUUGGUCAAUGGGCGAGAGCCUGAACCAGCCAAGUAGCGUGCAGGAUGACGGCCCUAUGGGUUGUAAACUGCUUUUAUGCGGGGAUAAAGUGAGCCACGUGUGGCUUAUUGCGGGUACCGCAUGAAUAAGGACCGGCUAAUUCCGUGCCAGCAGCCGCGGUAAUACGGAAGGUCCGGGCGUUAUCCGGAUUUAUUGGGUUUAAAGGGAGCGUAGGCCGUCUGAUAAGCGUGUUGUGAAAUGUCGGGGCUCAACCUGGGCAUUGCAGCGCGAACUGUGAGACUUGAGUGCGCGGGAAGUAGGCGGAAUUCGUCGUGUAGCGGUGAAAUGCUUAGAUAUGACGAAGAACUCCGAUUGCGAAGGCAGCCUGCUGUAGCGCAACUGACGCUGAAGCUCGAAAGCGUGGGUAUCGAACAGGAUUAGAUACCCUGGUAGUCCACGCGGUAAACGAUGGAUGCUCGCUGUUUGCGUCUGACGUAAGCGGCCAAGCGAAAGCGUUAAGCAUCCCACCUGGGGAGUACGCCGGCAACGGUGCAACUCAAAUGAAUUGACGGA